GGAGUUUUAAACACUGUGUCCACCCACUGUCCACUCUAUUAGACACUCAUACCUUGUUGGUCCACCUUGUACAUGUAAAUUCUUCAGGGAUAUUUUUACACACCUCCAAAGUUCAGUCUGAGAAGUUUUUUCGCUCCUGAGAAGUUUCUGAGAAGUAAUCACAAACACAUUUAGCAAUGACAAGGUCUGGACUCUGGGGUGGUGUUCUGAGAACAUCAGCAGCUUCUUUGUUUGAUUUGCAGAUUUUCUUUUUUUAUCUAUUUGUUUUUCUCAGUAAUGGCUUCUCUGACUUAUGAACAGUAAUGUGUAUUUAAAUUAUGGUGGAUUUGUACUUUAUCACUAAUACUUCUUCUCAGGAAUGAUUGUGAGGAAAGUCUAGACAUAUUUUUAUGAACAUUUAGUUACUAAUUACCUCUGAUUAUUUUAGAGCAAGGAUAUAUUAAAUAUGUAUUUUCUUUAGACAUAUUUCCUGAAAAAUGAGUAACUUGUAUGAUUUGAGUGGAAAUAAAUGAAUAAAUACAUGAAAGGUGGCCUUUUUCACAGUACAGUAGAUAGUAGGUUGUAUGUUAUAAAUAGGUGUAUAUAUAAGUUGAACUGAGUUAUAUAAGUAUUGAUGAACACUCUUUGUGUUAAUGAGAAACGAGUGAAUGUGCUAGAGAGGCCUGAGGCAAUGAAAGAGGGAGAAUAAAGUCUUUCAGUCGAGAGACUCCGUGAUUUGAGUUGCCCCUCCAACUGGCACCAAUUACUCAGCCAGCGUAUUCAACUUAUUUGAAUUUCUAAUGCCUCAUUAGAAUGUGUUAAUGGGUGGGAAACAGUCUUAUUGAAGUGUCAAGCUGUAGGUCUUGAUUUAUUGUUUCUUUUUCCUGCCCAUCAAAUAUUGCGCCACCAUGUGGAGUUGUUUUUUUAUAACAUCCUUAAAUAGAGCAAAACUUUUUAGAAGCAUGUUAUGAACGGUUUUGCUGACGUUGGACUCAUUGACUUUUUUUCCAGUGUGUGGGCCAAAGCUCGCUAUGCUGCCUUUAUUAGCACAAAGAGCUGAGGCCCAGGCUCAAGCCCUUGUCCUGCCCUGAGGUGCAUGCAUUGUGCUGCUAUGAAUGUGACUUGGCGAGAGCAGCUUCAUGCAGGGAGCUGAGUGAGAAUGAGGCUCUUGUUGGACUGACGAGAUGAGUUUUGGGACCCAGCCUUCCGUAACAGGAAUGGAGUUUGUUCCAGAACAAAAGACCCAGUUUGGACCAGUUUGCAGUGUAACAGUGUUUCCAUUCUGUAAUUGUGCUGCACUGAACCAUGAGCCAAAGUGCAACAGUUGGUAUAGUGGCUGACUGACAGACAAUAAAUCAUGAUUGUCCUGCUAUCAAUAAUUAAUUUGUUAAUUAACCUAUUUUAGUCCAUUUUCAUCUGCAAUGCCUAGAUCAACUUACCUGCACGUACAUCAGGAUUCAAAAAUGCACGUGGCACCACAUGGCCUUGUUUUCCAAUUUGAGAAUAUUCCCUUAUUUAGUAACCAAAGGUGGGAAGAGCAGCCUAAAUUCAUACUGGAAUAAAAAAAUAGUUUUUCUGUGAAAUAAUAAAGAAAUAUAAAAUAAUUAAAAAAUAAAAUUAAUUUCCAAAAACAGCUUGCAUAGAAGUACAAAAGCAGCAGUUUAAAAACUACUUAAGUACAGAGUUCCCUAUAGAACUGCAGCAGAACCUCUUAGUACAUCCAGCUUCUAUUAGCAUAUGAAUGAGGUUUGUUAACAAACAAGUAUGUUACCAUUUAUUUUUUUUCUUUAGUCUUAAAUAACAUGAUUAACCUUAACCAUCAGAGGGAAUAAAGUAACUAAAUGUUAAUAAAAUAUGCCUAGAUUACUGGAACAUUUAGUGAGUACAAAUCCUUCAUAAUUCAAUUUGAAUAUUCAGUACUUGUCAAAAGUCAGAGACCCCUCUUCACUACUUUAAUUCCCAGUCCUAACAAGAAGUAUUUCAGUAUUUAGUGUGUCCACCCUUUACCUUUAUUUCAGCUUCCAUUCUUACCAGGAGACUUGCUUUGAGUUUGUGAAAGAAAUCUGCAGGGAUAGACAACAUACUUAACACAAGGGAACCUAAAAUACUGUUUCAGUUAAUGGACAAAGGAGAGCAUAACCUGAUUGUCUGCAUGGACGAACAUAGAAGCCCAGCUGGGAUUGAAUUAGCUGCAUGGUGAUCUAAUCUUUGAAUUCCAGUUUUGGAAAUUCCUGGUUUUUCACUUCUCAUUUUCAUUUGACUUUCCCCUCCUUUUGCAAGUGGGUUAUGUAAUAUUUAAUCUCCUCAUAAAUAUACAUAAUAGCCGUGAGUAAAUGUAACUACUAAUACUCAUCACUGUUGUUUCCACAGCACACAGAAGUGGAGGAGGGUCUGCAACACAUUUUGUAAAGGUGCUUAGGACAGGAUAUAUUUGGAACACAGCCCCAGGGAGAAAACGUGACGCUACACCUUUACUCUGUGGGAUACACCCCACCACCACCACCACCACCAUUUAGUUACACACGCCUGCACAAACACAUCACAGAUCACACAACACAAGGGAUAUUACACCUGAGCAGUGGACACAAAAGACUGAGGCCCUGAAUAAUUGAGGCAGCAGCAGGACGAGUGGAAAUAGAGCAAUUAACUAAGCUGUCAAUCAUAAGGCAACAACAAACUGGAACCCGAGAGCCUCUGGGGGGCUGUCAGGAAACUCUCCAAGUAAACAUUUUGAGUGUUUAUUCUGUUUUCCUUCUGCUUUUUUGUUGUUUUGUUUUUGUUUUUUUUCCAGAUAGUGGCUUAAAACUCUAGGCAGCUGAGUUUAAAAUAGUUCAGGCAUUAAUGUAUGCAUUGCGUGCAGAUUUGUUUUAAGGUCUAAUUCAAGCAAAUCCAGCCUACUACAUUCUUAAUACACAGCCUAAAAGACUGUUUCAGUUCAUUGAAAAAGGAGCGCAUAACCUGAUUGUCUGCAUGGAAGAACAUGGAGGCCCAGCUGGGAUUGAAUUAGCUGGAUGGUGAUCUGAUCUCCUAAGCACAGCCCAUUGCUAGUCUGCCCAUCAACCUUUCCAAACAUCCUGACAGGUUCCUUCAUUACUGCCUCUUUAUGAACAAGAUGAUGUGAAGUGGCUGUAAUUAUAACAAUUAUUCUCUUCUCAGUCUACAGAAACACUCCACCAGUCGAAAUGUCUGUGUACUGAAAUCAGUUAGAAGUAAAUAAAGUCAUUCAGUGUGGUUAGAUGUGAAAUGGGAUAUUCUGAAACUCUUUUCAGAUAUAACUCUGAUUUUCACCGCAAUGCUUUCCUAACAGUAGUCACUGGUGUUCACUGGCAACAGUGACUGAUUUUCAUAGAUCUAUUUCUCAGUGCUACUCUCUAAACACUUUUAUCCAAGGGCAGGCUGUUUUCUUUUUCUCUACAUUUAAUUUGGGAUAUUAAUUAUAAAACCAUGUCUUCUGUUUGUGUUGCUCUUAUUGUGCUGUUAUCCUGUGUCAACCAGAAGAGGAUGGGUGCACUUUUUUGAGUCAUGGUUCCUCUCAAGGUUUCUUCCUCUUGCUCUUAUAGGGAGUUUUUCCUUGGCACUGUCGCCCUUGGCUUGCUCCUCUGAGCUUGUAAAAGCACUGUAUGAAUAAAAUUUGAUUUGUUGAAUAUCACA